UGACUAGAUCCACACUCAUUAAA
rnacentral:ncRNA from 3 species